rnacentral:lncRNA from 1 species
GAAGUUGUGCAAAAUUAAUUAUUACGAUGGUUGUGAUUCCAUUGUGCAGACGGGAGAUGAUUCAUACAAAUUUCUAUAUGGUGAUCAGGCUCGGCAUUCGGAUUUGAAACGAGCCAUGGCUAGCGCUGGAGAGAAUAAUCUAAAUGCUACUAAGUUACGUGAUACAGAUCUGGACAACCUUGAUGGGAAACAUACUGUUUCUGGAGAGAUUGGAGAAGGAUUCGAUGAAGCUUAUGUGGAUGACAAGGGCAAGCCUUUUCAAAAUAUCCGAAUCAAACACACUCACAAAUUGGUUGAUCCUUUCCAAUUAAGUUACUUGAUUUCAUAUGCUUCAAAGCCAAAAGAGGAGAUUGAUGUUGAUGUUGGACUAGAGGAUGAGCGGGACCUUCCUUAUGCUGAGAUAAAACCCCGUGUGCUCUGGGUUUGUAAUUUGAAUUCAGUAACUGAAGACGAAGACCUAUAUACAAUCUUCUCACGCUUUGGAACCGUGGCAUCUGCUGAAAUUAUUAGAGAUCGCGAGACUGGG